AGGUACACUAAUGUAUCCUUCCACAAAUGGAGAAGUGAGAAGGUACUUAAUUUUGUAAAAACAAUUAUGUCCUUCCUCAAUUGGACCCAGCUUUCCCUUCGUUCAAGAGAUUCUUGGAGCAAUUUUGUUGAAAGAAGCAAUACUCACCUCCUCAGACUCUCCUGCAGCCAGAGUGGCCAUACACUACAGUUGUGGACAGAAGUAUGUGAAGUGUCAGUGGAUGUGUGUUUCUAGAAAAGCCUUUUUGAAAAGCAUAUCCCUUUGGCAUUUUGUCUCACCCUUCCUAUCCCUCCCUGCCCCAGAAUACAAAUAGUAGGAUGAAGGAGAACAGCCUUCUCAGAUAAGGGAAAAAAAGUGACAGAAACUUAAAUACUGAAAGAAGGAGGCUUUUCUUGCAAAAAUGGCUGAAUGAGAUCUGGACUGCCCAUUCCAGCUUCCAAUUCCAUGAGAAAAAUAAAUUCCUGUCUUUUAAGCUUG